GACGUAGGGCGCGAGCGUUGUCCGGAUUUAUUGGGCGUAAAGAGCUCGUAGGCGGCUUGUCGCGUCGAAUGUGAAAACCCACGGCUCAACUGUGGGCUUGCAUUCGAUACGGGCAGGCUAGAGUUCGGUAGGGGAGACUGGAAUUCCUGGUGUAGCGGUGAAAUGACGCAGAUAUCAGGAGGAACACCGGUGGCGAAGGCGGAUCUCUGGGCCGAUACUGACGCUGAGGAGCGAAAGCGUGGGGAGCGAACAGG
rnacentral:rRNA from 1 species